rnacentral:rRNA from 1 species
UACGUACGAGGCGAGCGUUAUCCGGAAUUACUGGGCGUAAAGCGCGCGCAGGUGGCGGAGUAAGUGAGACGUGAAAUCUCCCGGCCUAACUGGGAGGGGUCGUUUCAAACUGCUUGGCUUGAGGACUGCAGAGGUGGGUGGAAUUCCUGGUGUAGUGGUGAAAUGCGUAGAGAUCAGGAGGAACACCGGUGGCGAAGGCGGCCCACUGGGCAGUCACUGACGCUGAGGCGCGAAAGCUCGGGGAG